GAUGAACGCUGGCGGCGUGCCUAAUACAUGCAAGUCGAGCGAACAGACGAGGAGCUUGCUCCUCUGACGUUAGCGGCGGACGGGUGAGUAACACGUGGAUAACCUACCUAUAAGACUGGGAUAACUUCGGGAAACCGGAGCUAAUACCGGAUAAUAUAUUGAACCGCAUGGUUCAAUAGUGAAAGACGGUUUUGCUGUCACUUAUAGAUGGAUCCGCGCCGCAUUAGCUAGUUGGUAAGGUAACGGCUUACCAAGGCAACGAUGCGUAGCCGACCUGAGAGGGUGAUCGGCCACACUGGAACUGAGAAACGGUCCAGACUCCUACGGGAGGCAGCAGUAGGGAAUCUUCCGCAAUGGGCGAAAGCCUGACGGAGCAACGCCGCGUGAGUGAUGAUGGUCUUCGGAUCGUAAAACUCUGUUAUUAGGGAAGAACAAAUGUGUAAGUAACUAUGCACGUCUUGACGGUACCUAAUCAGAAAGCCACGGCUAACUACGUG
rnacentral:rRNA from 1 species